rnacentral:lncRNA from 1 species
GAAAAUACACGAACUAUCACCGAAUUUUCAUAUUGUACAUCACCUUCAAAAAUAGCUCCAAAAUACAUCAUCUUCUAAUUUAGUUGUAAUUUGCACACGCGUUGACCAUCACCUUGAUCGGUAUUGACGUGGCACCGGAAUUUUCAGACGUGGACUCACCGGCAUUCAAAACGACGUCGUUUUGCGUGAGUAUAAAUUAAAAAAAAAUCCCCAAAUCUGCACCUUCUUCCCGUAUGCACCUUAUUCCCGUUGCACAGCUUCUUCCUCCGAUUUUCUCAAACGAUGCUCCGACGACUAGCGCGGCAAGGAAAUCAGCGGCUCAAACGACGCUCCGAUGGACCGGAGGCGGCACAAAUCUGUAAAUCCGCAAGGCCGCCGUCAAUCUGUAAAACAAUUUCUCAUAAUUUCAGGCAAAAAUUAGUAAAAAAGAGGAAAGGACUCCUAUCUUGUGUAGAAAGCCCUCUAUUAGCUAACCUUCAGCUACUGAAGGAUUGAAGCUCUUCUCCCCUUUGUCUUCUAUAUCCCACCUCUAGUCAAUCAGCGCGGGGUUCACAGAAAGGGCUUUCAAGCGGGUUUGAGGAAAGGCGAUAAUUUUAGGAAAAAAAGAGGAAAGGGGUUCGAGAAAAUCAAGGAAAAAUAGGAAAGGCGAUAAUUUCAGAUCGGUGAGUUUGACAGAGGAGGCGGCGGAGGCUGUAAUUUCGAUGGUUUUAUGUGAUGUGUCGUUGGUUUCUAAAGAAACUUCGAUGGGCCUUUGCUGCAAAUCUGCAAUUUCCAACUUGGCGGAGGAGGCGGACAGGAGGCGACUUGGCGGAGAAGGCGGCGGAGGCUCAUCACCGGGCUUGUUACCUGUCAAGAAGGUGGACAGGGAGGCGAGUUGGCAGAGUAGGUGAGGCGGCCGGAGGCCCACAAAAAAUUAGUCUAUUUUUACCAUUUAAGGAUGCCCACAAAAAAUUAGUCUCAUUAUAGUUUUG